CAAAAGAGAGAAGAGGGAGAUGAAAAGAGGAAUAAAAGAAGAAGAAAGAAAACAUAAGGGAGGGGAUCGAUUGAGUGUUAGAAGAAAAAGGAGGAUGAACAAAUGAGAAUGGGAGUUUGAUUUUGCUGCUUUUGAAACUGAACUGUGAGAAGGCAAAGGGAGGAAGUUUUCAGAAGUGAUGGGUUUCCGUUCGGGUUGUUUAGUAUCUAUGGUUGUCUUGCUUUAGGAGGGCGAGAUUGGCACACAGGGGAGACGCUUUGAACACAAAGUAACAAUGUUGUAAAUUUUUAUUCCCAAAGGAAACUUGAUGGUACAAAAGGAUUUGUGAAGGAAGACUCACUGCUAGUAGUGUAGUGGAGAAAAACAGAAGGCUUUUUUGUAAAAAUUUAUGAUAUGCUAAAGGAUCAUUGAGAUCGGUAUGUGAAGCAUGGCAUAUCUAGUAUGUGAGAUCUAGAAAGUGUUGCCAAAUCUACGAGAUGUUGUAGGCAUGCUUAAAAGUUAUGGAAGCAUGUAAAGAUAUAUCAAGUGUGAUAUUCUAUAAGCAUGCUUAAAAGUAGUGAAAGCAUGUAACGGCUCUAAUUGCGAAAGCGUAAGAGAUAAGACAUAGUAACUUAUCUUAUGCCGAUUUGGAGGCUAGCGGAGUUGGCCGAGCAUGGCGGUCCAUUGCUUGUGGCAGAUAAAGUAUUCCGAUAAUGUACGUCAACUCGUAGUUGAGAUCGAAUGCUCCAUAGAAAUAAUUGAAUUUCCUUGAAACAAAAUAGAUGAUUAAUAUGUAGAUUUGUAAAAUCAACAUCAAUAAUUUGCAUAUGUACUUUGAUAAAAUUAUAAGCAAAGUGUAUAUGCAAAACUUUAGUUGGCAACAAAUGAUA